rnacentral:sRNA from 1 species
AUUUAAACCUGAUUGAAAUGGAAAGCCCGUAAGCGAGGAACGAGUGCGGACUUGAAAUGGAAAGCAGGACUAACA